UACGUAGGGUGCAAGCGUUGUCCGGAAUUAUUGGGCGUAAAGAGCUCGUAGGCGGUCUGUCGCGUCGGCUGUGAAAUCCCGAGGCUCAACCUCGGGUCUGCAGUCGAUACGGGCAAACUAGAGUAUUGCAGGGGAGACUGGAAUUCCUGGUGUAGCGGUGAAAUGCGCAGAUAUCAGGAGGAACACCGGUGGCGAAGGCGGGUCUCUGGGCAAUAACUGACGCUGAGGAGCGAAAAGCGUGGGGAGCGAACAGG
rnacentral:rRNA from 1 species